CUAUGAUCACUAGAUGUUGGCGAUAUAUUGUCAGUGUUUUAGAGAAAUCGUUAAGUGAUCCACCUGGGGAGUACGUUCGCAAGAAUGAAACUCAAAGGAAUUGACGGGGGCCCGCACAAGCGGAGGAGCAUGUGGUUUAAUUCGAUGAUACGCGAGGAACCUUACCAAGACUUAAAUGUAUUUUGACAGGUUGAGAAAUCAACUUUUCUUCGGACAAUUUACAAGGUGCUGCAUGGUUGUCGUCAGCUCGUGCCGUGAGGUGUCGGGUUAAGUCCCAUAACGAGCGCAACCCCUAUUUUUAGUUACCAGCGAGUCAUGUCGGGAACUCUAGAAAGACUGCCUGUGUAAACAGUGAGGAAGGUGGGGAUGACGUCAAAUCAUCACGGCCCUUAUGUCUUGGGCUACACACGUGCUACAAUGGUCACUACAGUGGGCUGCCAUCUGGCAACAGAGAGCAAAUCCAUAAAGGUGAUCCCAGUUCGGAUCGGAGUCUGCAACUCGACUCUGUGAAGUUGGAUUCGCUAGUAAUCGUAUAUCAGCAAUGAUACGGUGAAUACGUUCCCGGGCCUUGUACACACCGCCCGUCAAGCCAUGGAAGUUUGUGGUGCCUGAAGUCAGUAACCGUAAGGAUCUGCCUAGGGUAAAACAGAUAACUAGGGCUAAGUCGUAACAAGGUAACC
rnacentral:rRNA from 1 species